AGCAGGACCUCUCUGCAUAGCCAUGACUAUUCCUGGAACUCACUAUGUAAACCAGAGAUCUGCUUGCCACUGCCUCUCAAGUGCUGGAGUGGCUCGUCUGGGUUCAGGAAAGUAUAGCUCCAGUUUAGUGUUCUUAUGGAUCAUCGACUGUACCCAAGACCAGAAACGGAAACAACUAGAUCAUCUUCAACUGAAGAACGGAGACAGAAACGUGAUACAG
rnacentral:lncRNA from 1 species